UCCUGGUUAGCUCAGUUGGUAGAGCGCUCCUCUGGAAGUGCAGAGCUCCCUGGUUCGGUUUCAGGACCCGGUG
rnacentral:tRNA from 1 species